UACAGAGGUCCCAAGCGUUGUUCGGAUUCACUGGGCGUAAAGGGUGCGUAGGUGGCAUGGCCAGUUUGAUGUGAAAGCUCAGGGCUUAACCCUGAAAUGGCAUUGAAUACUGCUGUGCUGGAGGUUUGGAGGGGGGACUGGAAUUCUUGGUGUAGCAGUGAAAUGCGUAGAUAUCAAGAGGAACACCAGUGGCGAAGGCGAGUCCCCGGACAACACCUGACACUGAGGCACGAAAGCUAGGGGAGCAAACAGG
rnacentral:rRNA from 1 species